rnacentral:lncRNA from 1 species
UGACCAAACCUUAAUUGGUAUCAGGACGAGGUUCUUCCCCUAUUUUUGACGUAAUUAAUUUUAGCUUGGGUUAGGAUGAGGUCCUUCCCCCGCUCUUAAUAGGGUUGUGGGGGCUCGUAUGGGCGUUGUAGGGCCCCUCCCCCUAUCCGGUCUCAGAGUAACCGGGCCUUCGACUUUGCUCAUGUUAGGGCGAGGUUCUCCUCCUGUCCCUAACCUGGCUGUGGGGGCGCAUAUGGACACUGUAGGGCCUCUCCCCCCAUUCGGUCUAAAAAUAAUCGGGCCUUCGACCUUGCUCAUGUUAGGGUGAGGUUCUCCUCCUGUCCCUA